rnacentral:rRNA from 2 species
GGCUCGCAGGCGGUUUCUUAAGUCUGAUGUGAAAGCCCCCGGCUCAACCGGGGAGGGUCAUUGGAAACUGGGAAACUUGAGUGCAGAAGAGGAGAGUGGAAUUCCACGUGUAGCGGUGAAAUGCGUAGAGAUGUGGAGGAACACCAGUGGCGAAGGCGACUCUCUGGUCUGUAACUGACGCUGAGGAGCGAAAGCGUGGGGAGCGAACAGGAUUAGAUACCCUGGUAGUCCACGCCGUAAACGAUGAGUGCUAAGUGUUAGGGGGUUUCCGCCCCUUAGUGCUGCAGCUAACGCAUUAAGCACUCCGCCUGGGGAGUACGGUCGCAAGACUGAAACUCAAAGGAAUUGACGGGGGCCCGCACAAGCGGUGGAGCAUGUGGUUUAAUUCGAAGCAACGCGAAGAACCUUACCAGGUCUUGACAUCCUCUGACAACCCUAGAGAUAGGGCUUUCCCUUCGGGGACAGAGUGACAGGUGGUGCAUGGGUGUCGUCAACUCGUGUCGUGAGAUG